CCUACGGGAGGCAGCAGUGGGGAAUAUUGCACAAUGGGGGGAACCCUGAUGCAGCGACGCCGCGUGGGUGAGGAAGUACUUCGGUAUGUAAAGCCCUAUUAGCAGGGAAGAAAAUGACGGUACCCGACUAAGAAGCCCCGGCUAACUACGAGCCAGCAGCCGUGGUAAUACGUAGGGGGCAAGCGUUAUCCGGAUUUACUGGGCGUAAUGGGCGCGUAGACGGGGUGCCGAGUCUGAUGGGAAAGGCCGGGGCUCAACCCCCGGACUGCAGUGGAAACUGGCAGUCUGGAGUGCCGGAGAGGCAAGCGGAAUGCGUGGUGUAGCGGUGAAAUGCGUAGAUAUUGGGAGGAACACCGAUGGCGAAGGCAGCAUGCUGGACGGAAACUGACGUUGAGGCUCGAAAGCGUGGGGAGCGAACAGGAUUAGAUACCCGUGUAGUC
rnacentral:rRNA from 1 species